AAGCUCGUAGUUGAAUUUCGGGAUCAGUAGGUUGGUCAUGCCUAUGGUAUGCACUGGCUUUACUGGUUCCUCCUUCUUGAUGAUCUGUAAUGUCAUUAAUUUGGUGUUGCAGGGAGUCAGGACUGUUACUUUGAAAAAAUUAGAGUGUUUAAAGCAGGCAUACGCUUGAAUACGUUAGCAUGGAAUAAUGAAAUAGGACGUUCGAACCUAUUUUGUUGGUUUCUAGGAUUGACGUAAUGAUUAAUAGGGAUAGUUGGGGGCAUUAGUAUUCAAUUGUCAGAGGUGAAAUUCUUGGAUUUAUUGAAGACUAACUACUGCGAAAGCAUUUACCAAGGAUGUUUUCAUUAAUCAAGAACGAAAGUUAGGGGAUCGAAGACGAUCAGAUACCGUCGUAGUCUUAACCAUAAACUAUGCCGACUAGGGAUCGGAUGAUGUUAUUUUUAAUGACUCAUUCGGCGCCUUACGGGAAACCAAAGUGUUUGGGUUCCGGGGGGAGUAUGGUCGCAAGGCUGAAACUUAAAGGAAUUGACGGAAGGGCACCACCAGGGGUGGAGCCUGCGGCUUAAUUUGACUCAACACGGGGAAA
rnacentral:rRNA from 1 species